rnacentral:rRNA from 1 species
CCUACGGGAGGCUGCAGUGAGGAAUAUUGGUCAAUGGGCGCGAGCCUGAACCAGCCAAGUAGCGUGAAGGAUGACUGCCCUACGGGUUGUAAACUUCUUUUAUAAAGGAAUAAAGUGCGGGACGUGUCCCGUUUUGUAUGUACCUUAUGAAUAAGGAUCGGCUAACUCCGUGCCAGCAGCCGCGGUAAUACGGAGGAUCCGAGCGUUAUCCGGAUUUAUUGGGUUUAAAGGGUGCGUAGGCGGCCUUUUAAGUCAGCGGUGAAAGUCUGUGGCUCAACCAUAGAAUUGCCGUUGAAACUGGGAGGCUUGAGUAUGUUUGAGGCAGGCGGAAUGCGUGGUGUAGCGGUGAAAUGCUUAGAUAUCACGCAGAACCCCGAUUGCGAAGGCAGCCUGCCAAGCCAUGACUGACGCUGAUGCACGAAAGCGUGGGGAUCAAACAGGAUUAGAUACCCUAGUAGUC